rnacentral:rRNA from 1 species
AUUGGACGCUGGCGGCAUGCCUUACACAUGCAAGUCGAACGGCAGCACGGGGGCAACCCUGGUGGCGAGUGGCGAACGGGUGAGUAAUACAUCGGAACGUAUCCUGUAGCGGGGGAUAACCUCUCGAAAGAGAGGCUAAUACCGCAUACGACCUACGGGUGAAAGAGGGGGAUCGCAAGACCUCUCACUAUUGGAGCGGCCGAUGUCGGAUUAGCUAGUUGGCGGGGUAACAGCCCACCAAGGCUACGAUCCGUAGCUGGUCUGAGAGGACGACCAGCCACACUGGAACUGAGACACGGUCCAGACUCCUACGGGAGGCAGCAGUGGGGAAUUUUGGACAAUGGGCGCAAGCCUGAUCCAGCCAUGCCGCGUGAGUGAAGAAGGCCU